AACGAACGCUGGCGGCAUGCCUAACACGUGCAAGUCGAACGAUGCCUUCGGGCAUAGUGGCGCACGGGUGCGUAACGCGUGGGAAUCUGCCCUUGGCUUCGGAAUAACAGUUAGAAAUGACUGCUAAUACCGGAUGAUGUCCCCCUGAGAGAUCUUGGGGACCAAAGAUUUAUCGGCCAGGGAUGAGCCCGCGUAGGAUUAGGUAGUUGGUGGGGUAAAGGCCUACCAAGCCGACGAUCCUUAGCUGGUCUGAGAGGAUGAUCAGCCACACUGGGACUGAGACACGGCCCAGACUCCUACGGGAGGCAGCAGUGGGGAAUAUUGGACAAUGGGGGGAACCCUGAUCCAGCAAUGCCGCGUGAGUGAUGAAGGCCUUAGGGUUGUAAAGCUCUUUUACCAGGGAUGAUAAUGACAGUACCUGGAGAAUAAGCUCCGGCUAACUCCGUG
rnacentral:rRNA from 1 species